GAAUAGGUCUACAUAUAUAUAUUCACAGCCUUGUCUCCCACACAUGCAGUAGUUCAAUGGUAAUGAAUCUAGUUUUUAUAGCAAACAUGUGAUCCUGUGACUGCAAUUAGGUAGUGCAAAGAUACUGUAAAGCAGUAUUUGUAUAGCAGGAGUGAAAAGAUGCAGUGCAUUGUUAUAUUACUGGCUAUUUUGUUUGCGAGCAGUGGAGUAGCAGUGCCUAUCAGCUAUGCAGCAGUGCCUAUCAGCUCUGCAGUAGUGCCUAUCAGCUCUGCAGCAGUGCCUGUCAGCUCUGCAGCAGAGCCUAUCAGCGACUGUAUCAAUAGCAGCGACUACCUGAGAAUUGAAAGUUCCCUUCUGAGCAGGCCCCAAAACUUGGUAAAUUUGUAUCAAGCUUUCUUUCCCACGAAUAGACAAGCAAGUAUUUCAGUUCAAGUCACCUAUCACUUUACUGGCAACCCUACUGAUAUACAGUGAUCUAUCGAUGGCUUGGCUCCUCUGUCUUGAUGCUGAUUCGUAGCGACUUGCUUCAUUAUCUCUCUCUAUUCACGUACAAUGUCAAGACAAAUCACGCAAAUAUCACCCUUGACCCGAUUUGUGGGUUUCCAAGUGAUGACAAUGUAAAUACCUCAGAUCCAGUACCAAGUGACUAUUGCAAAGUGGCUAACAGCGCUGGUCAUCAUCUACUCAACAGUCUGACAGCUAAUCUUUUCUCUUAUGCUGUGCAUCGGAAUUCAGUGAUGCACAAUGGAAUUGACUCGUCAAUUGAAAAUGGAUUCUCCGUGUACGUUUUUAAUACCGAAAACCUCGGUGACUAUUGUAUCUUUGAUGAAUUUAACAACUUUUUGCAUUUAAGGACACUGUUGUUUGUUGCCUUUGGAUUCUUGGAGCUAACGAGUGUGUUUUCCAUUCCUCUGCUAUUGGGUAGUAUUUAUGGCGAGUUUAAAAAGAAAAUGAGUAGUACCGAUAAAAAUGGCAACGAAAAUAAACUUAGAUACUUUGUUUGGGCAACUCUUGUAUUGAUUGUACUGAUUAUUCCAUUGCUCUUUUGCUGUAAUUUCUAUGCGAUUUGCAAUGGCUUGAGCUCACCACGAACAAAAUAUAAAGACAUCUUUGCAGGCUUUAUAGUAAUGGCUGUUUUUAUGGUUGUUCUCCCUUUGGUGGACAUACUAACAGCAAUCGGUGUUGUGGUGAUUCUUUACUGUAUUGUUGGAAAAAACAACAACCCCGGGAUAAUGAAGAUAAGCAUGAGAUAAACUGCUUUGGCUUUCCGGAUUUUGCGAAUACUGAACAUAGAUGCAUACGUCUAAAGAUUUUCGUUCAUGGUGUUGCCAUUUUUGUUGUAACGUGGUUCACUCAACUUGCACUUUUCAAUUCUAUUUAUGUGUUCAUUGGAGCAAUAGCUGCCCCUGUGGAAACUGGCUCACUUCUUCUCUUGUACAUUACAAGCCUCUUUGCACUGAUAUCAUUCUUCGCUGUGAUCCUUAAAGUUAUCCACAAAAUACUACCGGUAGUAGUUGCACAACUGGCAGUAGCUGCACAACCGGCAGUAGCUGCACAACCGGCAGUAGCUACACAACCGGCAGUAGCUACACAACCGGAAGAAGAUACACAACAGGGAGUAGAUACACAACCGGCAGUAGCUACACAACCGGCAGUAGCUACACAACCGGCAGUAGCUACACAACAGGGAGUAGAUACACAACAGGGAGUAGAUACACAACCAAGAGGAGCACCUCCGCCAGUAACAAUUACUCGUUGUCAAGGUUGUUCGGGUUUCGCCUGCUUUAUACCUUUUCUACUUUUGGUUUUAGUACUGGGCUCUGGUAUCGGUGUUUUUUUGUUUCAUUCAUGUACAUCUAUAUAACAUUGAACCAGGAGUACCGAAACAAUCGCGGCAUACUGACCUUCCUUGGGGCUCUCCUCCCCUCCCUCCUUGCAUCAACCUCGGGGUAUUUCUGGACGAGGAUUAUGCCAUGCAUUGGAAAUAGGAACAGAGAACCACUAAGUGAUAUAGAAAUAAGGGAAUCAAUGGAGUCUCUACUAAGGAUUGCCAAAAGGAUAAAUCCAAAUUAAGACAAAACUGGUCAAGAUACUACACUUAAAAUGUCAGAAAAUGAUGGAGCUAAUGGAAGUGACUUUUAAAUUAUUGUACCCUAUACUAUAUUUUUCACGAGUACGUCUUCUUACUGUGUGUGUAUAAUUAAUUCUGAAUUUUGUAGAUU